UACGUAGGGGGCAAGCGUUGUCCGGAUUUAUUGGGCGUAAAGCGCACGCAGGCGGUCUCUUAAGUUUCGAGUGACAGGUCAGGGUCUAACCCUGGCAGGCCUUGGAAAACUGGGGGACUUGAGGGCUUCAGAGGGACGCGGAAUUCCAGGUGGAGCGGUGAAAUGCGUAGAGAUCUGGAAGAACACCGAAGGCGAAGGCAGCGUCCUGGGAAGUCACUGACGCUCAUG
rnacentral:rRNA from 1 species